AUUGAACGCUGGCGGCAGGCCUGAUACAUGCAAGUCGAGCGGAUGAAGGAAACUUGCGCCUGGGUUCAGCUGCCGACGGGUGAGUAAUUACUAGGAAUCUGCCUGGCAGUGGGGGAUAACGUAAGGAAACGGGCGCUAAUAUCGCACACGUCCUGAGGGUGAACGUCGGGGAUCUACAGACCACACGCUUCCUGCUGGGCCUAGGUCGGAUUAGCUAGUUGGUGGGGCAAGGGCCUACCAAGACGACGAUCCGAGACUGCUCUGAGAGGAUGAUCAGUAACACGGAAACUGGGAACGGGCCCAGACUCCUAGGGGGGGCGGCAGUGGGAAAUAUUGGACAAUGGGCGAAGGCCUGCGCCAGCCAUGCCGCUGGUGUGAGGAAGGUCUUCGGUUUGUAAAGCAUUUUAAGUUGGAAGAAAGGGCAGUAAGGUAAUACCGUGCUGUUUGGACGUUACCAAUAAGAUAAGCACCGGCUAACUUCGU
rnacentral:rRNA from 1 species